CAGGGCUCUAGUAGCUGCAAUUGUCUAGUUGUGGUCUUGGGUUUUGAGUCAUCAGCGGGACCACCACCGGUUCUGGGAAUUGCGAGUGCACAACUAAGAAUCCAAACAGCAACAAGAACUCACCAGUGCUUCCUGCUGAACUCUGGGGAGAAGCAAGGAAGGAGAGAAGAGCAAUAGAAACAGAUGCCGGAGUGUAUAAGUUGGCUUGCUUAGAAGGAUGUGCUGUAGAUCUGAAGAAAUGGAGCAGUGCUCAUCUUGGGACAAGAUUGGAC